UACGUAGGGGGCAAGCGUUGUCCGGAUUUAUUGGGCGUAAAGAGCGUGUAGGCGGCUUUACAGGUCCGUUGUGAAAACUCGAGGCUCAACCUCGAGACGCCGGUGGAAACCGUAAAGCUAGAGUCCGGAAGAGGAGAGUGGAAUUCCUGGUGUAGCGGUGAAAUGCGCAGAUAUCAGGAAGAACACCCGUGGCGAAGGCGGCUCACUGGCCCGGUACUGACGCUGAGGUGCGAAAGCGUGGGGAGCAAACAGG
rnacentral:rRNA from 1 species